rnacentral:rRNA from 1 species
UACGUAGGCAGCAAGCGUUGUUCGGAGUUACUGGGCGUAAAGAGUGCGUAGGUGGUGCCCUAAGUCUGUUGUGAAAUCUCCCGGCUUAACUGGGGGGUGCGGUGGAAACUGCAGGACUUGAGGCUGGGAGGGGCUGGUGGAAUUCCCUGUGUAGCGGUGAAAUGCGUAGAGAUGGGGGAGAACACUCGUGGCGAAGGCGGCCAGCUAGACCAGUUCUGACACUGAGGCGCGAUAGCGUGGGGAGCAAACAGG